UACGGAGGGGGCGAGCGUUAUUCGGAAUUAUUGGGCGUAAAGGGCGCGUAGGCGGCUGUACAAGUCAAAGGUGAAAUCCCUCGGCUCAACUGAGGAACUGCCUUUGAAACUGUACGGCUUGAGGCCGGGAGGGGGUAGCGGAAUUCCCAGUGUAGCGGUGAAAUGCGUAGAUACUGGGGAGGAACACCAGUGGCGAAGGCGGCUACCUGGACCGGUUCUGACGCUGAGGCGCGGAAAGCGUGG
rnacentral:rRNA from 1 species